GAACACAGUGGGAAUUAUUACUGUGAAGUCCAGAACAUCAGGGGACGUCAAAGCGUGACCAUACAUCUGACUGUGGCAGGAGCAUGGAAAUUAAUAGCUGUUGGAACAAUCGCUGCUAUUUUACUUGUUGUCCUACUCAUCUCAGUUGCACUAUGCAUUAGAGCCUCUAAGCAACCAUCUAAGCCUGUAGAGACACUGGACAACAGUGCAAAGACACAACCAGAAGAGCCAGAGGAUGCCCUUACCUAUACGACUGUUCACUUUUCCAAGAAACAGGCAGAUCCUCUCUACUCCAAUAUCAGUCCAGCUCAGCCCCAAAGACACAAGGAGGAGGAAGAGGUGAAGGAUGUCGUGUAUGCUACUGUCAAACUGAACAGUGGCAAUGCUGCCCCGAGGUGAGUGCCUCUUUACACAGGAACAGUAUCCUCAGUUGGUGUUUGAUUGAGUGUC